AGUCCGAAAGCAGCAGAGCGGCGCAAAGGGUAGACUUUAGGGUUGCUAUGUUUUUUUAAAAAGGAGUGUCUGUUGAUGUUUAGGGUUUAUGUUGAACCAUAUAUGUGGCGUGAAACGACGUCGUUUGAUGCCAUUUCAAUGGCUUCAAAGCGGCGUCGUAUAGGGCCGAGAUCCACGCGGUGACCCGACCCAAGGGAAGGAUCCGCGCUUUUGUAGCAAUGGAUUAUUUUCGGC
rnacentral:lncRNA from 1 species